CUAGUUCGGAUUGUAGGCUGAAACUCGCCUACAUGAAGCUGGAAUUGCUAGUAAUCACAGGUCAGCAUACUGUGGUGAAUACGUUCCCGGGCCUUGUACACACCGCCCGUCACACCAUGAGAGUUGAGAAUACCCGAAGCCCAUGUCAAAGUGGUCGAAGGUAGGCUUGAUGAUUGGGGUGAAGUCGUAACAAGGUACC
rnacentral:rRNA from 1 species